CAGGCCCAUUUCUACAUGAUGGAUGAGUGCCCUGAUGGGGCUGGGGGAAGGAAAGAAGGCAUUUCCACCAUUUCCAGUCAGCUGAGUCAUGGACCCCAUGAUGGAGUUUGAGGAUAUAAUAUGGUGCCAGACCCAAGCCAGCAACUCUGGGAUGCUCUUGUUUCAUGGUUAACCUUAGAGACCUGCUAAUCCAUGUGACCCCAC